UGCUGCAUGGCUGUCGUCAGCUCGUGUUGUGAAAUGUUGGGUUAAGUCCCGUAACGAGCGCACCCUUAUCCUUAUUUGCCAGCACGUAAUGGUGGGAACUCUAAGGAGACUGCCGGUGACAAACCGGAGGAAGGUGGGGGCGACGUCAAGUCAUCAUGGCCCUUACGACCUGGGCUACACACGUGCUACAAUGGCGAGAACAGAGGGCCGCGAAGCCGCGAGGUGGAGCUAAUCCCAGAAAACUCGUCGUAGUCCGGAUUGGAGUCUGCAACUCGACUCCAUGAAGUCGGAAUCGCUAGUAAUCGCGAAUCAGAAUGUCGCGGUGAAUACGUUCCCGGGCCUUGUACACACCGCCC
rnacentral:rRNA from 1 species